GCGGAUCAUCACUUUACGAGUCCUGGCAUGGGGAAAGAUUGAUCGUUCACCCCAUUCGCGUCCGGAGCCCGUCAGAUCCCGGAUAUCGGCCUUAUUACGGGUUCCGGUAGUGAAUCUUUUUCGAAGAAAUGGAAGGACACAUAUUUUGUAAUUUUAUAUGUCAUAAAAUUUAACUAUAAAUUUUUCUUAUAAGCGUUAAAAGCUGUUUGGAGCAAGCGAUGAUACAAUCCACCUAAAGUGCAGUAGUAAAUUACGAGAAAUGAAAA
rnacentral:lncRNA from 13 species